rnacentral:rRNA from 1 species
AGCAGCCGCGGUAAUUCCAGCUCCAAUAGCGUAUAUUAAAGUUGUUGCAGUUAAAAAGCUCGUAGUUGAAUUUCGGGGUUAGUAGGUUGGUCAUGCCUCUGGUAUGUACUGGUCUCACUGAUUCCUCCUUCCUGAUGAGCCGUAAUGCCAUUAAUUUGGUGUUGCGGGGAAUUUGGACUGUUACUUUGAAAAAAUUAGAGUGUUUAAAGCAAGCUAACGCUUGAAUACAUUAGCAUGGAAUAAUGAAAUAGGACGUUCGAUCCUAUUUUGUUGGUUUCUAGGAUUGACGUAAUGAUUAAUAGGGAUAGUUGGGGGCAUUAGUAUUCAAUUGUCAGAGGUGAAAUUCUUGGAUUUAUUGAAGACUAACUACUGCGAAAGCAUUUGCCAAGGAUGUUUUCAUUAAUCAAGAACGAAAGUUAGGGGAUCGAAGACGAUCAGAUACCGUCGUAGUCUUAACCAUAAACUAUGCCGACUAGGGAUCGGGCGGUGUUACUAUUUUGACCCGCUCGGCACCUUACGG